UAUAAAAGAUUCCUUGAAGCUGUGCUGUCCUGUCUCCAGAGAAAACUUCAUGCACUGAUCAUCUUCCAGCCAGCACAAGACCUUCUUGUGUCACAAGAGAGUUCUCUGCUGACAAGACCCUCCAUAAAGUGCAGCCAUGUCUUCGGAUUCUGAAAUGGCCAUCUUUGGAGAGGCUGCUCCUUAUCUCCGAAAGUCAGAGAAGGAAAGAAUUGAGGCCCAGAACAAGCCUUUUGAUGCCAAGACAUCUGUCUUUGUGGUGCAUCCCAAAGAAUCCUUUGUGAAAGCACAAUCCAGAGCAAAGAAUCUGGGAAGGUCACUGUCAAGACUGAAGGUGGAGAAACUCUAACCGUGAAGGAAGAUCAAAUCUUCUCCAUGAACCCUCCCAAGUACGAUAAAAUUGAGGACAUGGCCAUGAUGACCCACCUCCAUGAACCCGCUGUGCUGUACAACCUCAAAGAGCGUUACGCAGCCUGGAUGAUCUACACCUACUCGGGCCUCUUCUGUGUCACUGUCAACCCCUACAAGUGGCUGCCGGUGUACAACCCGGAGGUGGUGUUGGCCUACCGAGG